rnacentral:rRNA from 1 species
AUUGAACGCUGGCGGCAGGCCUAACACAUGCAAGUCGAACGAGUGGCGGACGGGUGAGUAAUGUCUGGGAAACUGCCUGAUGGAGGGGGAUAACUACUGGAAACGGUAGCUACUACCGCAUACCCUCAGAUGUGCCCCGAUGGGAUUCGCUAGUUGGUGGGGUAACGGCUCACCAAGGCGACGAUCCCUAGCUGGUCUGAGAGGAUGACCAGCCACACUGGAACUGAGACACGGUCCAGACUCAUACGGGAGGCAGCAGUGGGGAAUAUUGCACAAGGGGCGCAAGCCUGAUGCAGCCAGGCCGCGGGUAUGAAGAAGGCCUUCGGGUUGGAAAGGACUUUCAGCGGGGAGGCGUGACCCGCAGAAGAAGCAUCGGCUAACUCCGUGCCAGCAGCCGCGGUAAUAC